rnacentral:miRNA from 1 species
AAAGUAAUUGGGGAUUUGGAAGGAAAAACAGUGGAUUUUGAUCUCGUAAAAUCCGCUAUUUUCCCUUCCAAAUCUCCAAUUACUUU